rnacentral:misc_RNA from 1 species
UCAAACUUGGGUCAUUUAGAGGAAGUAAAAGUCGUAACAAGGUCUCCGUUGGUGAACCAGCGGAGGGAUCAUUACUGAGUUUUAUACUCAAUCACCUCUGUGAAUUUAUCUGUUGCUUUGGCAGGGAGCUAGCUUCUAGAAGGCUGCUAAUUGUCAGGGGAUAGCCAAUUUUAGCUGUCUGCCUUGUGCCCUGCCGAAGGCGUUUUAAAUCAAAUUUUUAGUGACUUAUCUGAUAAUGUUAUCAUAAAUAUAAUAAUAAACUUUCAACAAUGGAUCUCUUGGUUCUGGCAUCGAUGAAGAACGCAGC